GACGAACGCUGGCGGCGUGCUUAACACAUGCAAGUCGAGCGGUAAGGCCCUUUCGGGGGUACACGAGCGGCGAACGGGUGAGUAACACGUGGGUGACCUGCCCUCAGCUCUGGGAUAAGCCUGGGAAACCGGGUCUAAUACUGGAUAUGACUCCAUGACGCAUGUUGUGGGGUGGAAAGCCUUGUGCGGCCGAGGAUGGGCCCGCGGCCUAUCAGCUUGUUGGUGGGGUGAUGGCCUACCAAGGCGACGACGGGUAGCCGGCCUGAGAGGGCGACCGGCCACACUGGGACUGAGACACGGCCCAGACUCCUACGGGAGGCAGCAGUGGGGAAUCUUGCGCAAUGGGCGAAAGCCUGACGCAGCGACGCCGCGUGAGGGAUGACGGCCUGG
rnacentral:rRNA from 1 species